rnacentral:lncRNA from 1 species
UCUCAUAUAAAACUGCCAAUAUUUUAUGAGAAAAAUGAUGGCAAAAUUUAAACACUGUAGAUGAAAGAAUUUGCAUCCAAUCAUUCCUUCUUCCAGGAAGUGUAUAUUCUUCUCAGUUGCCUCGAACUUUCCACUCCUUGCUUGGCAUUUGUUUGUUUUAAUGCUCUAAUUACUAGUUCUUAGUCUGCAUUUCAAGACCUUUAAAUCUCACUAAUUAUGUCCUUCCUUUAGGUAUGUUGUCUUCCUGCCUUGUUAUUGCAAGAAUAGCUUUCUCCUUUUCAAAUCUGAGCUGUGUUUGUGCACAGGUGUCCCGACAACAAUCUGCCUUCUCUUCGUUCCUGGAAUAAUGGUGUUUCAUUCUGAUGUCUUUGGCAGAAAGAGCCACUUACAUUCUGGAACCCAACCUGAAGAGAGAAUCUCUCUUGAGAUAUUUUCUGUGUUACACCAUUAAACAUCCUGUUAGCAAAAGGGCUUUAGGAACAUUAUUUUCCAAUUUACUCACUCGCAAAGUCAUUACGGCAAAUGAAAACAUCAACAUGAGUUUUCAGCGCAUGGUUUCUUCUCACAGACAUGAAGGGUCUGGAUAUAGAGUACCCUCAGGGGUUUGGGCAGUGCUCAGGACAUCAAAACUUGGAGUUUAGCAGCUUGAAACUGGGAGAUCCAAAUGUCAGUGGAAUAUGCCCAGGUAGACAAUCAGGUUUCAAAUCCAUAGCCCAAAUGAGCCGAGGCAAAAUGACAGUUGCCAGUUUAAAAACAUGCAAGAAGAUUUAAUGAUGGGGAAUUUCCAAGCAGACAGUGGUGGCAAAAUUGUGAGCUCAAGGCAGAAUGUGGAAAAAAUAACACAUAGCUCUGGGGGUUUGUUAUCUGAUUCAAAAAUAUUUGGGCCUGGGACAUCUAGAAGGCUUUAUGGGUGAGCGGCAGAACAGACAUUGUUUUAGCUUUGUUUUUCUUUUUGACUCCUUAAGCAAGGAAACCAUGUCAAGAGGAAAAUAUCAGGGUGAGACCUAUGCUUUGAGAGAUUAAAUUCUGAUUUGGCAAGCCAAUUGGAAAGUGCAUUUCUGUAAUAUGGGUAAAGUCAAUGUUAAAAUAUGAUUUAUCUGUUCCUAACGAAUGACUCUUGGUAAAUUUAAGAUAUGUGAGUAUUCUGUUACCUUGUAGCUGUUUAUUCUUCAUUUGCAAACAUAUAUUUAAGCAGUGAUGACUGGAAGGAUUUGUAUGUCUUCCAAAAUAUCUUGAUAUUUCUCAAAUGUAACUAACAUCUUGUGAAAAGAAGGAUUUGGUGAUUAUUGUACCUAUAUUAAUAUCACGGGACAUAAUAAUUUUUGUCUCUUCAGGGCACAGUUAGUCUAAUUUCUUGGAUUCCUAUGUUAACACAAAAAGUUCACCCCUUUCCUGAAUGUCUCAGAAAGAUUUUUAAAAAUUUGUUGGUAUUUUAAAAUAUAUACCAUUCAUGGAAUAUUUACAUUUGAAUAACAAAAUUUAGCCUUCUAGACUCAUGUUAAAAAAACAGCAGUCUUUGGAUCAAAGAUGUUGAGAAAAUAAUUUAUAAAACAUAUUUCUUUUUGGCCUAACGAGAAGUAGAAAAGAUUUAGCCACCAUAAAUAUAUUCUUUAAGCCUACAUAUUCAAGAAUAAGAACUUUUUUCUAAUUUAAAUUUUAAUUCAUUCUAAAAUUGUAUUUUAUUUCUGAACCAGAAGAAAAUAUUUCUAGUUAGUUCUGAAUUAUCCUUGAAAGACUUGUUCUCCUCACUACGUUCUCAAUAAUUUUGCCACACUCUUAUGUCUUCCCAUCCUGCUUUUUGUGGGAACGUAGAAAGCUAUGGAGUCUACCAGAUGAGACUCCUUUAAUGGUCUGUGGAAGAAUGGAAGUAGUCCUUUCCCUCUAGGAUAUGAGCAAGCUGCAGCUCUAGGAGGCCCAUGUUCUGACAGCUGAAGAAGCAAGAGGCCAAGAUCCAAAUUAGAUAUCAAGUGAAAAUGACACACCUGGCAAGAUGGUGCUAAAAGUGCCCACUGAGCAAUGGAGUCAGCCAUCAGAAAAUAGUGAUGUGACUGGAAACAGGAGUGUUUAACUUUUUUUUUUUUUUUCUUUUUAUGGUCACAGCUGCAGCGUAUGGAAGUUCCUGCGCUAGGGGUUGAAUCCAAGCUGCAGCUGUAGGCCCACACCAUAGCAACACAAGAUCCAAGCCAGAUCCUUAACUCACUGAGCAAGGCCGGGGAUGGACCAUACAUCCUCAAGGACACUAUGUCAAGUACUUAACAUGCUGAGCCACAACAGGAACUCCUGAGGGUUUGACUUUUACUCACCACUAUCUGUACUGCUUUCAGCAGAAAUAAAGACUACACCGGUAUCACUCCCUUAGUUGGUCCCCCACCUCAUCCCCAGAAAAUGUAAGACAGUAUAAGGGAAAAUACAGAGCAUCAUCACAGGGUGUAAAGUGAGAUUUGCGGGUUGACCAGGUAAUGAGGCCACCAGAAGAGAGAAGAGUACUAGGGAACUCUUUUAUACUGCUGAGGACAAGACAGCACUUGAGGGGAUCUCAUGCUGAUAAAGAAGAUAACAGUGGCUUGUGAUUAUUCUAACGGAAACAUAGUAAUGGAGCUUUCCCAAGGAGAUGUAUUCAUUCUUUAUGAAGAAUAUUUCUCUUCCUUGUGCAAGAAGUUCAUAGAGUAAUGCAAAAUACAUACGUGAGCCAUAAAUUUGACCUUUCCAGUCAUUUGUUACAACCAUGAAGUAAUUGUUUGGCAUCAGCACAAAAAAUAAUUCAUGUAUUCGAAACCUAAGUAUAUCCUUCAGAGGACAAGUACACAUUUACUCAAUUUCUGUAGACACAGAUUUUUGUCACAGUAUACUAUAACAACAAACAUAUUUAAUUACUGAAAUUUAUGAAUUGUUUUCUAAUAAUAACACAUAGCUACACAGUUCCUGAGUUUAGUUCUUAUCCAGUGAUGAGUUAUUUAUUAGAUUAAAUCAAGAUGACACAUACUACCUUAAAGAGAGUGGAUAAAAUAGAAAGUGUUCAGACUUUGAAAUAAGUUAAAAUAUCUGUGUUCAAAUGUUUGCUAAACCAUUACUUGAUGACAAAUUAUUUUAUAUAAGGCUUAAUUUCCUCAUUGAUAAAUUUAAGAUUUUUUUUUGCAGAGAUUUGUGAGAUAUAAUUUUAAGUUCCUCACACAUAGCAGGUGCUCAAUACAUACUGCAUGGUAGCCAUGUUUUUUUUUUUUUAAUCGAAGUGUAAUUGAUAUACAAUGUUGUGUUAAUUUCUGCUAUACAGCAAAGUGAUUCAGUUAUACAUAUGUAUAUACUCUUUUAUAUGGUUUGUCAUAGAACAUUGAAUGUAGUUCUCUGUACUAUACAGUAGGACCUCGUUUGUCCCUCCAUAUAUAAAGCUUACAGCUGGUAAUUCCAACCUUCCAUUCCAUCCUUCCCCACCUCCACUUGGCAACAAAAAGUCUGUUCUCCUUGUCCAUGAGUUUGUUUCUGUUUCGUGACAGGUUCACUUGUGUCAUAGUUUAGUUCCUACAUAUGAUUUAUAUCAAAUGGUAUUUGUCUUUCUCUAUAUGACUUACUUCACUUAGUAUGAUAAUCUCUAGUUGCAUCCAUGUUGCUACAAAUGGCAUUACGUCAUUAUUUUUACGGCUGAAUAGUAUUCCAUUGUACAUAUGGAGCACAUCUUCUUAAAUCAUUCAUCUGUUGAUGAACAUUUAUGUUGUUUCCAUGGCUUGGCUAUUAUAAAUUGUGCUGUUAUGAACAUAGGGGCGCAUAUAUCUUUUUGAAUUAUAGUUUUGUCUGGAUAUAUCCCCAAGAGUGGGAUUGCUAGAUCACAUAUAAUUCUAUCUUCUGUAGUUUUCUGAGGAACCUCCAUACUAUUUCCCACAGUGGUUGUACCAAUUUACAUUCCCAACAAGAAUGUAGGAGGGUUCCCUUUUCUCCACAGCCUCUCUAGCAUUCGUUAUUUGUAAAUUUGUUAAUGAUGGCCAUUACGACCAGUAUGAGAUGAUACCUCAUUGUAGUUUUGAUUUGUAUUUCUCUAAUAAUUGGUGAUGUUGAGCAUUUUUUUAUGUGCCUAUUGGCCAUUGAUAUUUCUUUUUUGGAGGAAAGUAUGUCUUUUGGUCUUAUGCCCAUUUUUUGAUUGGGUUGUUUGAUUUUUUUCAUUAUUGAGUUACAUGAACUGUUUAUAUAUUUGAGGAAUAAAGCCUUUGUCAGUUGCAUCAUUUGCAAAUAUUUUCUCACAUUCUGUAGGUUGUCUUUUCAUUUUUGUUUAUGGUUUCCUUUGCUGUACAGAAGCUUAUAAGUUUGAUUAGGUCCCAUUUUUUGAUUUUUGUUUUUAUAUCUAUUGCCUUGGGAACUGGCCUAAGAAAACUUUGGUAGGAUUUACCUCAGAGAAUGUUUUGCUUAUCAUCUCUUCUGGAAGUUUUAUGGUGUCAUGUCUUAUGCUUAAGUCUUUAAGCCAUUUUGGGAGAGGAUUAAGAUGGCUGGGAUAGAAGGACUGCAGCUCAACUUCUCUGCUAAAAACAACAAAACUCACAACUAAAGGCUGCGCAAUCUCCACCCAAAUGGACCGGAAACCUUAAAAAAGAUACCCUACUCCAGAAGAAAAAGAGGAGGCCACAUCAAGAGGUAGGAGGAGCGAUUUCAUGAUAUAAACAACCCCUUACCUCCAGGGUGGGAAGCCCCACAGACUGAAAACUAACUGGUUCACAGAGACUCACCUACAGGAGUGUGAGUUCUGAGCCCCACAUCAAACCUUCACAUGCAGGGACCUGGCACUGGGAGAAAGAGCCCCUGGAGCAUCUUGCAUUGAAGGCCAGUGGGGCUUGUGCUCAGGAGCUCCACACGACUGGGGGAAACGGAGACCCCCAUUCUUAAAAGGUGCACACGGACUUUCACAUGUACUGGGUCCCAGGGCAGAGUGAGGUCUCCAUAGGAAUCUGGGUCAAACCUGACUGCAGUUCUUGGAGGACAUCCUGGGAAAACAGGGGUGAAUGUGGCUUGUUGUGAGAGAGGGACAUUGAAAGCAAAGCUCUCAGGAAUAUUCAGCAGCUUGCCUGUCUCUGGAGGUGGCCAUUUUGGGAAAAUCUGGCCCCACCCCAUCAGUCAGUGCUAAGAAGCCCCAGGGCAAACAACAAUCCAGGUGGGAUCACAGCCCCGCCCCUGAGUAAACAGGCUGCAUAAAGACCCCUCAGGCACACAGCUGCCUCUAAUCCCAUCCAGAGACUAAGCCCCACCCACCAGAGGAAUUAGAAUCAGCUCCACCUACCAGUGGGCAGGCAUCAACCCCUCCCAUCAGGAAGCCUACAGCAAGCCCCCAUGCAGCCAUAAGGGGGGGCAGCCACCGGAAGUAAGAGAGGCUACAACUCAAGUAUCUGUAAAAAGAUCACCACACCAAAAACCUAUAAAAAUGAAAAGACAGAGAGCUAUAACUCAGAUGAGGGAGAAAGGAAAAACCCCAGAAUAUCAGCUAAGUGAUGAGAUUCUCAGCAUCCAGGAAAAAGAUUUUAGAUUGUUGAUAAUAAAGAUGAUACAAGACAUUGGAAAUAAACUGGAGGCAAAGAUGGAUAACUUACAGGAAACACUGACCAAAGAGAUACAAGAUAUAAAACUUAAACAAGAAGAGAUGCAAAAUACACUAACUGAAAUAAAAAAUUCACUAGAAGCAGCUAACAGCAGAAUACAGGAGGCAGAAGAAUGAAUAAACGAGAUGGAGGACAGAUUAGUGGAAAUUAUGGCUGCAG